UUUUAUUUAAGUUUUAUAAUUUUUUGAUUUUUUAUAAUAAGUUAUAUUUAUUUAAAGUUAUAUUAGUUAUUUUUUGUUUUAGUAUUUUGUUUAUAAAUAAUAAUUAUAUUUAAAAAUGUAAAUGAUUUGUGAAAUAAUUUUUAAAAAUAUUUAAUUGAUAAAGUAAAAUUUAUUUUUUGUACCUUUUGUAUCAGGGUUUAUUAAUUAAGUAUUAGUUAUUAUUAAUUUUCUCGAAUUAAUUAGAGUUAAUAUAAUAUUUAAGUUAAUGUUUAAAUAUUAUUUAUAUAUUAUAUUAGAGGAGAGAUUCUAGUCAAUAAUUAUGAUAUCUAGUUUUUUUAGAAAUAAAUUUAAUUUAUUUAUUAAGUUUAAAUAUUUAAAUAAUGAUUAUUUUAGGUAUUUAUUUGAUAAUAAAAAUUUAGGGGAUUAGCUUUAAAUUUUAAAUUAAAAGUAUAAAAAUAUUUAUUUUAAUAAAUUAUAGGUUUAAAAAUGAUUAUUAAUUAAAAUUUUUAAUAAUUUAUUAUUUAUUUAAAAUUAAUUUUUAUUUUCUUUAAUUAUUUAUAAAAAUAUUUUAAUUAAUAAAUUAUUAAAAUUAAUAAUGAUAAAAUUAUUAUAUUUUUAUUGUGUUCUUAUUUAUUUAUUUUUUAUUUUAAAGUAAUUAUAAGGAACUAGACAAAUUUAAUAUUUACCUGUUUAACAAAAACAUGUCUUUUUGAUUUUAAUUUAAAGUCUAAUCUGCCCACUGAAUAAUUUUAAAUGGCCGCGGUAUUUUGACCGUGCAAAGGUAGCAUAAUCAUUAGUUUUUUAAUUGAAAGCUUGUAUGAAUGAUUGAAUAAGAUAUUUAUUGUCUCAUAAUUAUUUAAUUUAAAAUUUAAUUUUUAAAUCAAAAAGUUUAAAUUUGAUUAUAGGACGAGAAGACCCUAUAGAUUUUUAUAAUUAAUUUAUUAAUUUUAAUUUAAUUUUUUAAUUAAAUUAAUUUUUAAUUAUUUUGUUGGGGUGACAUUAAAAUUGAAUUAACUUUUAAUUUAAAAUAUACAUUAAUUUAUGAAAUUUUAAUAUAUAUAUAUAUAUAUAUAUAUAUUAUUAGUUUUUGAUCCUAACUUAUAGAUUAUUAAAUUAAAAUACCUUAGGGAUAACAGCGUAAUUUAUUUGGAGAGAUCAUAUUAAUAAAUAAGUUUGCGACCUCGCUGUUGAAUUAAGAUAAUGUUUGGGGGGAGAUACUCAAAUAAUAGGUCUGUUCGACCUUUAAAUUCUUACAUGAUUUGAGUUCAGAUCGGCGUGAGCCAGAUCGGAUUCUAUCCUUAAUAAAUUAAUAAUAUUUUUGUACGAAAGGACUUAAUAUUUUAAAUAAUUUAUGAUGAUGUUGAUUAAAAUUAAAAUUU
rnacentral:rRNA from 1 species